UUCCCCCUCGACGGACGUGCGCUCGCCUCUGCUGCCUCCACCCGCGGCUGCCUUAUGUAACCUGCGAGGAAAGCCCCGCGCCCGCGUUCGUUGGGGCAAGCGGGAUGGGCUCCCUCCCGCCCUUAAGUCUGUCCUGUCGGGGCUGACCCGCAAGAAAGCACUCUUUCACAGCCGCUGAGGGAAUCCUCUCCACAGCCCAGGAAGGCUGGAAUCAGUGAUUUCCUUAUAUGAUGGACAAGGAGACUGAGGCUCAGAGAGGUGGAGCGUAUGUCCCAAAGUCCCAAGCUGCACUGAGCUCCUAGAUGCUGUGACCCACCCUGCACGCCUGACACAUGGACCGACUUGAAUGCCCAGGAGUGGACCUGCCUGGGGGCCAUAAGGGAUACAUACAACUAAAUGCAGCAGAGAUAAUCCUAAUAAAAGUUUUUAAUGUACUGGA
ensembl:lncRNA novel transcript, antisense to COL15A1